UCAUUGGUGGUCUAGUGUUUAAGAUUUGGUGCUUUUAACUCCAUUGUCCUGGUUGGAUUCCCAGUUAAGGAA